rnacentral:rRNA from 1 species
UACGUAGGUGGCAAGCGUUGUCCGGAUUUACUGGGCGUAAAGAGCUCGUAGGCGGUUUGUCGCGUCUGCUGUGAAAACCCCGAGGCUCAACCUCGGGCCUGCAGUGGGUACGGGGCAGACUAGAGUGCGGUAGGGGGAGAUUGGAAUUCCUGGUGUAGCGGUGGAAUGCGCAGAUAUCAGGAGGAACACCAAUGGCGAAGGCAGAUCUCUGGGCCGUAACUGACGCUGAGGCACGAAAGCGUGGGGAGCAAACAGG